rnacentral:rRNA from 1 species
UACGUAGGUGGCGAGCGUUGUCCGGAUUUACUGGGCGUAAAGAGCGCGCAGGCGGUCGUACAAGUCGCGUGUGAAAGCCCCCGGCUCAACUGGGGAGGGUCACGCGAUACUGUUCGACUCGAAGGCAGGAGAGGGAAGCGGAAUUCCCGGUGUAGUGGUGAAAUGCGUAGAUAUCGGGAGGAACACCGGUGGCGAAAGCGGCUCACUGGACCACAACUGACGCUGAUGCGCGAAAGCUAGGGGAGCAAACAGG